UCAACAAUUGCACCUUCUCAAGUAACGACCUCUGCUGAGUAAUCAACAUGCUCAAGCUCUACACUGAUUUUCUGCUCAACGCAUCUGCCACCACAUUCGCCUUGCGAGGGUGAUACUGAAUACUCAUAUCAUAAUCCUUCAAUAACUCUAACCACUGGCACUUUCUCAGAUUCAACUCUUUCUGGGUGAACAGAUACUUGAGACUUUUAUGACAGUGGAAACAUCACAGUGCUCGCCAUACAAGUAAUG
rnacentral:lncRNA from 1 species